rnacentral:rRNA from 1 species
UUCACCUACGGGAGGCAGCAGUGGGGAAUAUUGCACAAUGGGGGAAACCCUGAUGCAGCAACGCCGCGUGAGUGAAGAAGUAUUUCGGUAUGUAAAGCUCUAUCAGCAGGGAAGAAAAUGACGGUACCUGAGUAAGAAGCCCCGGCUAACUACGUGCCAGCAGCCGCGGUAAUACGUAGGGGGCAAGCGUUAUCCGGAUUUAUUGGGUUUAAAGGGUGCGCAGGCGGUCUGUUAAGUCAGCGGUCAAAGCCCGGGGCUCAACCCCGGCCCGCCGUUGAAACUGGCAGUCUCGAGUU